UACAGAGGUCUCAAGCGUUGUUCGGAUUCAUUGGGCGUAAAGGGUGUGUAGGUGGCGCGCUAAGUCGGGUUUGAAAUUUCGGAGCUUAACUCCGAAACUGCAUUCGAUACUGGCGUGCUUGAGAACUGGAGAGGAGACUGGAAUUCAUGGUGUAGCAGUGAAAUGCGUAGAGAUCAUGAGGAAGACCAGUGGCGAAGGCGGGUCUCUGGACAGUUCCUGACACUGAGACACGAAGGCCAGGGGAGCAAACGGG
rnacentral:rRNA from 1 species